GUGAUUUAAUUUAACGGCUGCGGUAUAAAUAACCGUGCUAAGGUAGCAUAAUCAUUUGUUUUUUAAUUGGGAACUGGAAUGAAGGGUUAGACAUAUUAUCUUAUAUUACAUUAAUUGACACAUAUAAAUUUUUAUUUAUGUAAAAAAACAUAGAUACGGAAAAGGGACGAUAAGACCCUAGAAGCUUGAUUUGGAUUUUGUACUUUUUGUUGUUUAAAGUUUUUUACAGUAAAAUAUAAUUUUAUCUGGGGUAGAUGUCUUAUAAAUGAAGAUUAUUAUUUACUUGUCGGUAAAGAGAUCCUUUAUAUUAGGAUAAGUAGUAUAAGUUGCACUAGGGAUAACAGCAUAAUGAUGAUAAGAAAUUAUAUUUUUUAUUAUCGAUUGUGACCUCGAUGUUGAAUUAAUUUAUCUUCGUGAUUAAAUAUUACGUAAUGAGAGUUUGUUCAACUUUUAAAUUAUUACGUGAUCUGAGUUCA
rnacentral:rRNA from 1 species